rnacentral:pre_miRNA from 1 species
CAGGUACUCCCUCCGUUCGGAAUUACUUGUCGUAGAAAUGGAUGUAUCUAAAUGUAUUUUAGUUCUAGAUACAUCCAUUUUUGAGACAAGUAAUUCCGAACGGAGGGAGUAUGUA